AAAUUACACUGACUGUAUCCCUUCUUGUAUCCUUCUUUAACAAACAUCAAAGGCUUAGCAAUGGACAUAGAUGGUAUAAAUUCUAAGUGAUCAGCGUAUGAGGAAGACUACUUUACAUUCCAGUCUCCAUAAUUCUUAGCACUUCAGUGAUUCUAAAACUGCUGUAGGAUAAGUGGGUUACUAUAACCACACUCCAGCUGCUCACGCCUGUCUGUUCCGCAUAUUCUGAAGUGGAAGAUAACAUGAAGCCAAUGGUAUUCGUAAAGACAAGAAGAAACAGCAAAGACUGAGCCAGCCCUACAGAAGAGCAGAAACAUCAUGCUUGAGAAGCUGGAUCCCACAUGGCAACUGUAGUUUGAUUUUCUGGCCCACUAACCUCUAAACACUCCAGGGUUCAAAAGGACAAAUGUGGAAAAAUGAUCAGCAACGCCAAUGCUGCUGCAACCCAA